rnacentral:rRNA from 1 species
UACGUAGGGGGCAAGCGUUGUCCGGAAUCAUUGGGCGUAAAGAGCGUGUAGGCGGCUCGGUAAGUCCGCUGUGAAAGUCCAGGGCUCAACCCUGGAAAGCCGGUGGAAACUGUCGAGCUAGAGUCCGGAAGAGGCGAGUGGAAUUCCUGGUGUAGCGGUGAAAUGCGCAGAUAUCGGGAGGAACACCAAUGGCGAAGGCAGCUCGCUGGGACGGUACUGACGCUGAGACGCGAAAGCGUGGGGAGCAAACAGGAUUAGAUACCCCGGUAGUCC